rnacentral:rRNA from 1 species
CGUGCAGGCGGUUUCGUAAGUCGGACGUGAAAGCUCCUGGCUUAACUAGGAGAGGCCGUUCGAUACUGCGGAACUUGAGGUCGGGAGAGGGACGUGGAAUUCCCGGUGUAGUGGUGGAAUGCGUAGAUAUCGGGAGGAACACCAGUGGCGAAGGCGGCGUCCUGGCCCGUACCUGACGCUAAGACGCGAAAGCGUGGGUAGCGAACG